UCUGAUAGAGGCAGUUCAGCAGAGAGGCCCCGAGGGUGGAGGAGCUUUCAUGCAUGAGAAACUGGGUGAAACUGGGCACGGGGCUGGGGCUGUGCCUUUUAACCCUCCUGCUGCUCUGGAGAGUGCAGCUCUGCCCCAGCUGGAGCUGGGCUCUGCUGACAGGGGACAGGAGGAGAGGAAAUGGCCUCGAGCUAUGCCAGGAGAGGUUCAGCUUGGAUUUGGGAAGAUUCCCCUAUGGAAACAGCAGUCCAGGCCUGAGCAGGGGUGGAGACCCCAUCCCCGGGGGGAUUCAGCAGCUUGUGGCACCUGGGGACAGGGGUCAGUGGUGGCCUUGGCAGUUGGACUUGGUGCUCUCGGGGCUUUCCCAGCCCAGGUGGUUCCAGGGUUCUGUGAAAUGCUGCUACAGCCCCUCCCUGACCUCCGCUCUGGCCCCAGUGAGCCCAGCCUGCAAACCCCAGUAACCUCCCCGGGUUUGUUUGAUCUCAUCUUCUUCUCCUGAAAGCUUUGAGUCCUGCAUGGCCUCCUGAGCAAACAGAUUCCAUGGCCUGGGACUGUUUGUUUGGAUUAAAAAAACACCAGCACGACUGAGAUGGCAUUGCAGGGUUGGAGCUGUUUGGGUUUCACGUGCUUCCCUUCCCAUCUGGAGAGGACUUUCAUCCCGUUCCUAAGCUUUUUUACCAGCAGACAGAAGGACUUUGUUGCUG